rnacentral:rRNA from 1 species
AUUGAACGCUGGCGGCAUGCUUUACACAUGCAAGUCGAACGGUAACAGGGUGCUUGCACCGCUGACGAGUGGCGAACGGGUGAGUAAUGCGUCGGAACGUGCCGAGUAGUGGGGGAUAACGCAGCGAAAGUUGUGCUAAUACCGCAUACGUACUGAGGUAGAAAGUGGGGGACCUUCGGGCCUCACGCUAUUCGAGCGGCCGACGUCUGAUUAGCUAGUAGGUGAGGUAAAGGCUCACCUAGGCGACGAUCAGUAGCGGGUCUGAGAGGAUGAUCCGCCACACUGGGACUGGGACACGGCCCAGACUCCUACGGGAGGCAGCAGUGGGGAAUUUUGGACAAUGGGCGAGAGCCUGAUCCAGCCAUGCCGCGUGUCUGAAGAAGGCCUUCGGGUUGUAAAGGACUUUUGUCAGGGAGGAAAUCCCUAGUGCUAAUACCGCUGGGGGAUGACAGUACCUGAAGAAUAAGCACCGGCUAACUACGUGCCAGCAGCCGCAGUAACAC